GAUUUAGGACCCCAAUAAAGUCUCGCACUAGCGUCUCUUUGCUCUCUUUGACGUUCGUUGUGCUGAAGUAGCUUUGCGGAUAUGGGCCUCAGCUGCAGACGUGGUGAAAAUGGCAUUACAGAAUGGUCUGAAGAUGGCACCUAGCUGUUUUUGUUCUCUUCUGCAUUUAAUGUCGAACAUCUACUAAUCAACAUGGUUCCUGUGGUCAUGUGAAAGGAGAUGCAAUUCCUUGCUGAGAUUGGUGUCUAGAAGUUGAGUUUUCACCAGGAUGGAGGUUUUUGUACCCCAAGUGUGAAAGAUUGCUUCAGAUUGUGUUGCUGUGCCAGUGGAGCCAGUGAUGUGCUGUACCUUCAACAUUAUUCAUGAUGCUUUUAAAAAUGCUCCCACGUUGGUGUGGGUUGAUGUUGCAACUGAUCUAAAUAAAGCUCUGAAAUGUGAA